GUGCGUGUCGCCUAGUGGUAGGGCACUUGACUUUUAAUCAAGCGGGCUAGUCCCAUCGGAGGUUCGAACCCUCUCACGCACA
rnacentral:tRNA from 1 species